CACAAGCUUACACUAUAAAGGACCCCCUCUACUUUAACAUGGGAGGUACUUGCUGGAUGCUUGAAAAAGUAAGUGCUUCCAUGUUUUAGUUGUGGUGAAUCCUAAUAACUCCUACAGAAAAU
rnacentral:precursor_RNA from 14 species